GAUGAACGCUGGCGGCGUGCCUAAUACAUGCAAGUCGAGCGAACGGACGAGAAGCUUGCUUCUCUGAUGUUAGCGGCGGACGGGUGAGUAACACGUGGAUAACCUACCUAUAAGACUGGGAUAACUUCGGGAAACCGGAGCUAAUACCGGAUAAUAUUUUGAACCGCAUGGUUCAAAAGUGAAAGACGGUCUUGCUGUCACUUAUAGAUGGAUCCGCGCUGCAUUAGCUAGUUGGUAAGGUAACGGCUUACCAAGGCAACGAUGCAUAGCCGACCUGAGAGGGUGAUCGGCCACACGGGAACUGAGACACGGUCCAAACUCCUACGGGAGGCAGGAGUAGGGAAUCUUCCGAAAGGGGCGAAAGCCUGACGGAGCAACGCCGGGGGAGGGAUGAAGGUCUUCGGAUCGUAAAACUUUGUUAUUAGGGAAAAAAAUAUGUGUAAGUAACUGUGCACAUCUUGACGGUACCUAAUCAAAAAGCCACGGCUAACUACGU
rnacentral:rRNA from 1 species